CCUCGCCUACGGCCUGGGUGGACCAGGACGGAGAAACAAACACACAGAAUCAGUAGAACACGCCUGACUCUCCUCCACCAGUCAUACAAGGAUAAUGGUCUAAUGCCUCCCAUCAAAAAGAGAGCUGGCAAAAGCAAACACAGGUUUAACCUGAAGUAUGAAGACUUGCAGCGAGUAGUGAACUAAGUCAACAACUACUCCGAGGAUAAUGUAUUACCAGAACGCCACCCAGGCCACAAACACUUUGGUGGAUUGCAGCUGCCAUCCCAAGUGACAAAACAGCAGUGAGGUGUCUCUACAAGGAAUCGAUGACAACAAUUGAACCUGUUAAGUCAGCCAAGCUGAAGAAGCAAGAGCAGCAUCUCCUGUUUGUUCAGAGUGAGCAGUCUUUCUAAGAGAAGAUGGUUGCUGACUGUAAGACCACCUGUCAAGACCUGCAUUUGUCUCUGGGGACCCCUACUAAACCAGCAAGCAAAGACAUUAGGAUGCAUUACAGCUUUGAUUUUGCUCAACAAGUAAGCAACAUUUCAUCCUGUAUACUGAUUAAGGACAUACACGGAUAGAUAGAGCAUACACCAAAAUAUAUAUUUUUUAUACAUAUAUAUACAUCUAUAUAUUUAUAUUUUUGGCAACUUUUACUUCACUACAUUCCCAAAAGAAAAUAAUGGACUUUUUACUCCAUACAUUUUCCCUGACGCCCAUUUUGACGGGAAAAUUCUCCAAUUCACACACGUAUCAAGAGAACAUCCCAGGUCAUCCCUACUGCACUUGAUCUGGCGGACUCACUAAACACAUGCUUCGUUUGUAAAUUAUGUCUGAGUGCUGGAGUGUGCCCCUGGCUAUCCGCCAAUAAAAAUAAAGUAGUACAAUUGGGCCGUCUGGUUUAAUUUGAAAUGAUUUAUACUUUUGAUACUUAGGUACAUUUUAGCAAUUCCAUUUACUGUUUACAUUUAAGUAUAUUUAAAAUCAAAUACUUUAAGUCAAGUAGUAUUUUACUGGCCUACUUUUACUUGAGUCAUUUUCGAUUAAGUUACUUUUACUCUGUGACAAUUGUAGUACUUUUUCCACCACUGGAUGUGGCUGGGGGUUAUAGCAUUUCUUUCACAUGACCCAUCAAUUUAGACAAGUGUGUCUGGGUAAGUGUCAUCUAAUAUUUAUAAAAUAUUUGUAUAAAUGUAUUUUGUUUGCUAUUUACCUGGACUUUUUCCUUGUUCUAGACUACUACCACUUUUAGUCUAUCUUUACUACACUACUCACUGUUAGACCUCACCUGUGAAUCCUUAAAGAGAUGGGUGGGGCUGGCUUAAGAGGGUGUGAAAAAAUGCUGAAUGGGUGUAAAGGAGAGCUCUCCAGUAGGUACCAAACCAUUCAAGGCCCUUUUCUCAAAAGUGACUGAGGCCCAUAUGAGGGAGGAAGUACAGCCACGAACACCAGAGUCUGAAGGGAAACAUAAACAGUUCAACAACGGAUUUAGUAUAGGAAAGGGAAGUAGGAUGGAGGAUACGUGCUGGGAACCAAAAGGGCCGUGUUGUGAAUGGUUCAGUACCCCCCAGAAGACUGGACAAGAUAGACAGAUGGAGAUUUCCCUGCGGAUGGGACACUGAGCACAGAAAAACUGGUAUCUGUAAGAGGGGACUGCGGCCGCAGGGACUGCGGUUGAAAAUUAGCCGGCUGGCUAAAACCGGCACUUUUACUGAAACGUUGAUUAAUGUGCACUGUCCCUGUAAAAAUAAAAUAAACUAAACUAAAAAAACUUGAAGAGAAAGAUUAAAGAAAAAGAGGAAGCCUGGCUGGCCUUUCUCUGAGGGGAACCCUUUGUAUCCGCCACUGCCAAAUCCUCCACCAGCAGAUGGAGAUGGUGGCCUUCCACCCCCUCAUAACCCACGGGGGUGGGCCUGUGCCCGGUGGAGGACCAUGGUAUCAGGAGCUGUUGGAGGAGCUGCAGAAGGAGCUGGAGCUGAAGACAGAAAGCAACCAGCCAAGACAAGAACCAUAGAAAAUGAGCAAAGAGAAGAAGAGGCAGAUGAAGAGGUAGAGGAUGAGGGGCCCCUUCUGGAACUGACAGAGGGGGAGACUGGAGCUGCUACAACUGUGGGCAGUUAGGGCAUUUCUCUAGACACUGUCCUAGAGCUGGAGAAGGCAAAGGAGAGUGGCCGUCCCCACCUGUUGGCAUGCAUGUGGAUAACCCAUUUGAAAGAGGUGGACGAAGGGACUACUAAAUAUAGGAUGAGGCAGAAACAGAAGAAAAUUAAGAACCAGGAGAAACCUGUCAAACCUAUUGACAUUUUAGUUGGUAAACAUAGAAUUCCAUUUUUGGUUGGCACUGGGGCCACAGUUUCAGUGUUGAAAAUAUCUUCCCUGUCUGCCCCCCCCCCCCCCCCCCCCUUAAAGAAAACAAUGCACACAGUAUGAGCAUAUGAAAUUCCCUGAAGGAUUGUCAUUGGGAUCGAGAGAAAAUUGAAUAUUUCUGUUACUAUGUUUGCCACCGGAAUGAUCAACAUGUUGAGGGAGAGCUGAGAGAGCAGUCCCUCUCUUCCCCGUUGCAUGCUAACUGAGAAGUGUCUGAACACCUGCAUUGUACUGCUGCUGUUCCCUCAUGCGAAGAGGAACCAACAGAGAUGGCCAAAACAAAAAGAGAAAGUUGAGAUGACCAUGAAUGGGAUAUACAGAGGAGAAGACUUCGUAGCAGCUGGAGUGCUGCUGACGGAAACUAAGACUAGUCUGUUUGAAGCCCCUGGCUCUGUUCCCCAUUGUAGUUUAUCAAAAGCUUCUGACACGCAAUGGAAAGAUGUGGGUGUUUGGAUGAAGAAAUUAAUAGAAGUAACUGACAUUUACUCCUGAGGGACUGACCUGUUGCAACAUCUACAACCACUGUGAUUAUUAUUUGAUUCUGCUGGUCCUCUACGAACGUUUAAACAUCUUGAAAAACAAUCUGGCCUUAAUUUCCAUGCACUCUUAUAAUCUCCACUCAUCACAGCCAGAAGAGAGAUGGCCACCCCUCAAAGCCUGGUUCCUUUCUAGGUUUCUUCCUAGGUUCCUGCCUUUCUAGGGAGUUUUUCCUAGUCACCAUGCUGUUUGGGGUUAUAGACAGGUUUCUUUACAGCACUUUGUGACAUCUGCUGAUGUAAAAAGGACUUUAUCAAUGCAUUUGAUUGAUUGAUUGAUUGGGUGGCCUGGAAGUGGUCAACUUCCAACAGCAACUUUCCAUUCCCCAUACUGGGCUACUGCAAUGACAAUACCAUGAAAAUAAACAAUUGAAACCAUGCCUGUAGUGUUACAAGAUAAUUCACACAUUGAUUGGCUAAAAGAUGUACCUGAAGAACUGUGGGCUAAAUCAAAGACCGACAUUGGACACAUGAAAGAAGCUGUGCCAGUUGUGGUUAGGGCUGUUAACGCCAGAUUAACGCCAUACCAGCAGUAAAUCAUGACCUCUGUAAAAUUCCAUGUGACCGUUGAUUCACCGUAACUCGGCUUAACAGCCAUCAAGUCAACCAAUGGCCUGGUACUCAGGGCUCUAUUGUCCUUCUAAUCACUCUGACGUCAAUGCAAAUGCAGUUGAAAAUCAAACACUUCAUGAUUGAAUUUUAAUAAUCUGCAGAGAUAGCAAUAGCAUAGACAAACAUUUUUGAAAAAUCUGGUGUAUUGACUUACCUUGAUUUAACCAUGGCUUCCCAUAUGGACAGAAAAGAGCAGAAGAUCUGAGCAGUCCCAUCAGGCCCAGUUUGUCAAUAACAGGUGGAAACUGAUUCUAAAAAACUGUCAUAGAUAUUGUUUCAAAACCAAACACAAGUGCAGCCAUUUGGGCACAUUUUGAAUUCAAGUCAACUGUGAAAGGUCAGAUAAUAAACCUGGAUGAAGCCAUUUGCCGAAUAUGUGAGAGGAAAAUAUUUGUUAACUUCCGGGUUGGAGCGAGCGGUCGCAUCCACACUUCGGUCCGCAGGUAGUAUAACUUUUUCAUUACAUUUCAUUAUAGUACAACGGUUUGAUU